rnacentral:rRNA from 1 species
UACAGAGGGGGCAAGCGUUAUUCGGAAUUAUUGGGCGUAAAGGGCGCGUAGGCGGCCUGCCAAGUGGAUGGUGAAAUCCCUCGGCUUAACCGAGGAACUGCCAUCCAGACUGUUUGGCUUGAGACCGGGAGAGGUGAGUGGAAUUCCCAGUGUAGCGGUGAAAUGCGUAGAUAUUGGGAGGAACACCAGUGGCGAAGGCGGCUCACUGGACCGGUACUGACGCUGAUGCGCGAAAGCUAGGGGAGCAAACGGG